rnacentral:lncRNA from 1 species
GUGUCCGUUCAAACCCGAAGCUCUGGUCUUUUUGGCUCAAGUCCCGAAGGUCGAUUUUACUCCCGAGAUUCCCGAGAAUCCCGAGGAAAAUCCGUUUCCCGAGACGAAACUCUGCCCGGUUUUCCAUCUCGCUAUCUUCAAACUUUCAAGUGAGUUUCAUACCCCUUAAUCAACCUUUUUAAUUAUUCUAAAUACUUUUAUAUGCUUUCAAGGGGGGGAUUACAAGUAAAACACACGAGUAUUAUCGUGUGUUACAUAAAGAAACUCUUUUAUAUACUGUUAUAUAUUCAAAUCACAUGCGAUUUAUAAACAUUUAAAGGAACUUUUAUAUAUAUAUAACAUAUGUCACAAUAGCAUUUUACCUUUUAAAAUAUAAUGUUGUUGUAAUGCAUGUAUAAACUAAACUGUUCUUAGAUUUUUCUUGUCUAUCCUAGACUCUACACCAAAAAUCUAUACUUUCAUAAACAAGUGAUUCCUUUUCUCAAUAUUUCUAAACAAACAAGACACGCUUUUUGGAAACUAUAAUAGGUAUAGUUUUACGAACAGAUUUCUAACUCUUAUGUACUAGAAACACAUAUUUCAAGAAGUUUACUUUCGUAUACAAGAACAAACGUAACAUUUUAACAAGUAGAUCUGUUUUUAUACCACGGAUUUGUGAGACACUAACUUCAUGUACGUUCGAGUACACAUUUCAAGUCCUGUAUUAUAUACCAGAAUCCCUUGGAGGGGGAGCAUGGUGUUUGUGUAUAGAUCUAUACGGGCUUGACAACCCGCGCCCUGACUGUUAGCUGCAGUCCACCGUUUGGGGUGACAAACGUCAUAACAUUCCAACGCCUGAAGAACGUUGUGUAUAGGCAUUCAGAGUCAAUAGUAUGGUUAUAAAACUCACAAGGGGUAUUAAAAAUGCAUUGAUUUACAAGGUUUUCAAACUCAUUGGUUAUUUUACAUUUACAUACAUUUUGGAAACAAACAUUGGUCUUGAGUGAAGGCUACUUUUAUACUAGUAGAAAAUAUAGGAUUUUCUAAACACAAACAAACAAAGAUAAAACAUUUCAUUUCAUUCAAACAUUGUCACUUAAAUACUUAUGAAAUUCACCAGCUUAAAUGCUGAUCUACUCUUUCAAAAUUACUUGUAUGUCCCAGGAAAUCAGUAAUUUCAGGUAUUCAUUUCGCUUUUGAUGAAGGGAUGCUGCGGCGCCAGUUUAAUCUCGUAUUUUGACAUCAUAUUGUAAUUGAGUUUUGAACAUGUAACUUUUGACAAAUGUAAACUUUCAAUUAUAUAUAUGAUGGUUGUAUUGCUUUCUUUACUAUGUAUUCAUUUGUUACGUUACCACAUGAAGUCAUCCGCCCCCGAACGUUUCCGCCGUUCAGGUUUGGGGGUGUGACAGAUUGGUAUCAGAGCAAUGUUUAUAGUGAACUAAGUAUAUCGAACCACAUAAGAUAUACAAACUAUAAAUGCUUAAGGGACUAAUACUCUCUGACAAAACAAAUUUUCUUUUUACACUUAAGCAGCAUUUCGUUCAACUUAAAUUGAUAGUUCAUUUAAGUACAAUUACAUGCAUACCACAAACUAUUUUCAUGUUAUACAACUAUACAAGUAUUUAGACAAGUUGACACUACGAUUGAGACUCGAUAUAUGUAAUCAGAUUUUGGACAAAUAUAGCGUGAUCAACUAUAUUUGCCCAAGAUUGGACCAACGUAUAUCGAGGAAUGAUCGUAGUAAGCAACAAGUCAAAACUUACCAAACCAUUACAAGAAUCAAACACAAGAAUUUAAAUACUAUAGGAGUAUUUGCUAUCUAAACUAGUUUAACUUACAUGUUUUACAUGUUCCGACUUUAUUCAAUUCUUAUAACCCUAUUUCUCGUACAGUCAAAUGGCUGGAUUUCACCACCCUGGCGACCCCUACUUUCCCAACCAAGGCAACGGAGGAUGGAUCGAAGAUGAUCCCGAAGAGGACGAGGAACCCAUAGAAGUGGGUGAUGACUCCGGUACCGACUCAGAGCCGGAAGUUAUCGAUCCACCACCCAUUCAACCUCCCGUCUUCGUAAGGAACUUUCAAGGACCGACUCCCGUCUGGGGAAGUCACCUCCACCAUUGGAGCCAACAGCAAAACCUACGCCCUCCCUACGGCAUGUGCCGGGACUUCUAUGAUGUCCGCGGCGGAGGUUCGGCUGAUCGAGCACUCCCGGUAAUGGUGGGUAAGUUAGCCAAUCAGUCCUAUCAGUCUGGAGUACAAGCUAGUCGACUCCGGGAUAUCAACGUGGAAGUGCAGGUUCACACUUCUGACAUCCGUAGGCUGGACAAGAUGCAAGACAACGCUCAAUUCCAAACCGAAGCGUUUCAAGCGCAAAUGAUUGCAGCCCUCGCCGAACUAAGGGAACAACAAGCCGCUUUCGAUAGGCGUCUAAUGGAGUCAAAGCAAUCAGAUACGGAGUCAAGCUCCAAGCGCAACCUUCGACGCAAGUAGUGCUUGUCAAGGACUCAAAUUUUGUUAUAGCUUAGGACCUCGGCUAAAAGUCUUUAAAUUUCUCGAACUUUGUAAUCGGAGACCCUUAUAGGGGUCAAAUUUUCAUGAUCGUUGUAACAACUUUUAUAUUAAUAUAAGUGGCACUAUUACUACUAUGUUGAGUAUUUCGUUCGAACCUUGAAUGGUCUUUGUGAACCCAAAUACUUGUUUCAUACCUUCAGUCUUACAAAUAACUUUCAUUCUUCUAUUUUAAGACUCAUACUAUCAUCUGUUGUUGAACUAUAGCGAUUUAGUUCAUGAGACACAUACAUUUUCCAUUCUAUGAAAUUCUUAUCCUUGUCUUUUCAAUCUAUAGUUGAAGGAUGCCUCCGCGUAGGAAUCCAAGGCGAAACAACGGUGAGGAAGCACCUAUACCACCACCACCUCCACCACCCCAAUUUGAUGCUGUAAUGUUUCAAGCAGCAGUCACCGCAGCGGUGGCAGCUGCCAUGUCACAGAUCAAUAACUCGAGUACUAAUGGCUCGGGAUCUGGCACACACCUAUCCAACCAUGGCGAGAGUCAUGGACCACCUCGAGAAUGCACCUAUAAGGACUUCACUAAUGCCAAGCCCCGGAUGUUUUAUGGUACUGGUGGUGUGAUGGCCCUGAGGCAGUGGAUUGAAAGGACGGAGGCAGUCUUUGAAAUCUGCUCCUGCCCCGAGCACAGCAAGGUCAAAUUUGCAACUUUCACCCUUCUCGAUAAAGCUUUAACUUGGUGGAAUGGCCACGUUAAAGUACUUACCCUAAUCGUGGCAAACUCCAUAAGCUGGGAGAGCUUGAAGGCCAUGAUGAUGAGAGAAUACUGCCCACGGGGAGAAAUUCAAAAGCUUGAACACGAGCUAUGGACUCUCGGAAUGGUGGGUACCGACAUCGCUACUUAUACCAACAGAUUCUGCGAACUGGCAAUCCUUUGUCCAGAUAUGAUUGCUCCCGAGAGCAAGAAGAUAGAAAGGUACAUCUGGGGACUGACGCCCCAAAUGCGAUCAAGCGUGUUAGCUUCUAAACCUGACACCUUUGAAAGUGCUAAGGAACUGGCACAAUCUCUGAUCGACUACGGAGGUCAUCAGAACUCAACCACUUCUGCACCAGCACCACAGAAAGGAAACAACAACAACAACAACAACAACAACAACAACAACAAUGGCAGGAAGAGAGCGUGGAUUAAAGGGAAGGGUGGGUCUUCCCAAGAAUCCGCAAAGAAACAACUGGUGUCAGUAAAUGCUGCCAUUGUACCUGCUACAGCCCCUACAAAUACCUACCCAACAAAGCCUUAUAUAGGUAACCUCCCAAAAUGCACCAAAUGCAAUUACCACCACCAUGGACCUUGUCGAGAUAUGCAGUGCGCCAACUGCAGCAGGAAAGGACACACAGCCCGUUUCUGCAAGGAACCCGCAAAGCCGAUCACUCAAGUUCCCGGUGCGGGUGUAGGGCAGGCUUGCUACGGUUGUGGCGAGGUGGGCCACUACAAGAGAAACUGUCCUAAGGCAGCAGGCACCGGAGGUGUGGGACGAGUUUUGGCAAUAGGCCACGACGAAGCUGUAGCUGACCCAACUAUAGUUGCUGGUACGUUCCUUCUCGAUAAUUCAUACGCAUGCAUAUUAUUCGAUAGUGGAGCGGAGAGAAGCUUCGUGAGUCAAAACUUUAUUCAUUUACUUAAACCUAAACCUAGCAAGUUAGAAAAAUCAUUCACUGUAGAGAUGGCCAAUGGAAAAACCGAAAACACAAAUUGCAUAUACAUGGGCUGUACGUUAACAUUAGACGGCCAUUCUUUCCCAAUCAAUCUCAUGCCGGUUCAAAUUAAAAGUUUCGACGUCAUAGUCGGCAUGGAUUGGUUGAGUCUUCUUCGCGCCGACAUCAUGUGCUUUGAGAAAGCAGUCCGUCUUAACCUCCCUAACAACGAAACAUUAGUUAUCUACGGCGACAAAUCUAGUGCAAACCUUCGCAUCAUUUCGUGCAUCCAAGCUCGAAAGUGCUUGCGGAAGGAUUGUCGAGCAUUCCUAGCGCACAUCGUCGAUACAAGUCAAGAACUGAAGGACAUCAAGAGCAUCUCGGUAGUACGCGACUUUCCCGAUAUCUUUCCAGAAGAACUACCAGGAUUACCACCGCAACGCCAAGUCGAGUUCAGAAUCGACUUAAUUCCAGGAGCUACCCCAGUAGCGAAGUCGCCUUAUCGUCUUGCACCAGCAGAGAUGCAGGAACUUUCCAGUCAACUUAAUGAACUCCUUCACAAAGGAUUCAUAAGACCAAGUUUCUCACCUUGGGGAGCACCGGUCUUGUUUGUAAAGAAGAAAGACGGAUCGUUCCGUAUGUGCAUCGACUACAGAGAGCUGAACAAACUUACUGUCAAGAACCGCUAUCCUCUACCCCGUAUCGACGACCUAUUCGAUCAACUUCAAGGGGCGAACUACUUCUCCAAAAUAGACCUGCGAUCCGGAUAUCACCAAUUACGAGUUCUAGAGGGGGACAUUCCAAAGACAGCCUUCCGAACUCGUUAUGGACACUACGAAUUCGUGGUGAUGCCGUUCGGAUUAACCAAUGCACCAGCAGUAUUUAUGGACCUAAUGAAUAGGGUAUGCCGCCCUUACUUGGAUCAGUUCGUCAUCGUCUUUAUCGAUGAUAUACUUAUCUACUCUCGAAGUGAGGAAGAGCAUAGUCAACACCUACGAAAAGUCCUAGAAACACUGCGAACGGAGAAACUCUAUGCGAAGUUCUCUAAAUGCGAAUUUUGGAUUCGAAGAGUCGAAUUUUUAGGUCACGUUGUUAGCGAGAAAGGUAUACACGUGGACCCCUCCAAAAUUAAGGCUAUUGAGAACUGGUCGGCACCAAAGACACCUACAGAAAUUCGUCAAUUUCUAGGUCUAGCUGGCUACUAUCGCAGAUUCAUAAAGAACUUUUCGAGCAUUGCGAAACCUCUUACUUCAUUAACCCAGAAAGGUGUGGCCUUUGACUGGGAAGCGAAACAAGAGAAGGCAUUCCAGACACUAAAGCAGGCCUUGUGCACCGCACCGAUACUAUCCCUCCCCGAAGGGAUAGAAGACUUCGUAGUGUAUUGCGAUGCUUCAAAUCAAGGACUUGGUUGUGUUCUUAUGCAGAGAGGGAAGGUUAUCGCUUAUGCCUCCCGACAGCUUAAGACACACGAAGUGAACUAUACGACACACGACCUCGAGUUAGGAGCAGUGGUAUUUGCUCUGAAGAUCUGGAGGCACUACUUAUACGGAACAAAGAGUACUAUAUUCACCGAUCACAAGAGCCUUCAACACAUUUUCGAUCAGAAGGAACUCAACAUGCGACAACGACGAUGGGUUGAGUUACUGAAUGACUACGAAUGCGAAAUUCGUUAUCAUCCUGGCAAGGCCAACGUAGUAGCCGACGCCCUCAGUCGAAAGGAAUACACUGGUCGGAGGGUCAAAUCUCUGACCAUGACUAUCCAUUCCCACUUAUCCACACAAAUUAAGGAAGCACAAAUGGAAGCUUUGCAACCUGAAAAUGUGGCGGGUGAAUCCCUGCGAGGAAUGGAGAAGAAUUUAGAAGUCAAGGGUGGCGGAGCCUACUAUCUCAUGGACCGAAUCUGGACCCCAAAUCAUGGUGGUUUCAGAAACGUAGUCAUGACCGAGGCUCACAACUCAAGAUAUUCCGUUCACCCGGGUUCAGAUAAAAUGUAUCUGGAUCUUAAGAAACUGUACUGGUGGCCUAACAUGAAAGCAGAAAUUGCUACCUUCGUGAGUAAAUGUCUUACUUGCGCUAAGGUUAAGGUCGAGUAUCAGAAACCGUCAGGACUACUACAACAACCAGAGAUACCGGAAUGGAAAUGGGAGCGGAUUACUAUGGACUUCAUAACCAAGUUACCCAAGACGACAAGUGGACUCGAUACCAUAUGGGUCAUUGUCGACAGAUUGACCAAAUCCGCACAUUUCCUACCCAUCAAGGAGACUGACAAAAUGGAGAAGCUUACAAGAACUUACUUAAGGGAAGUAGUGCGACUGCAUGGUGUUCCGAUAUCCAUUAUCUCCGAUCGAGAUAGUAGAUUCACUUCAAGAUUCUGGCAGUCACUACAAAGUUCCCUGGGAACUAGGCUAGACAUGAGUACAGCCUACCACCCACAGACAGACGGACAAAGUGAGAGAACAAUACAAACUUUAGAAGACAUGCUGAGAGCCUGCGUGAUUGACUUUGGAAAGGCAUGGGAUAUUCAUUUACCCCUUGUCGAAUUUUCAUACAACAAUAGUUAUCAUACAAGCAUAAAGGCUGCUCCGUUUGAAGCCCUCUAUGGUCGAAAGUGCAGAUCCCCUCUGUGCUGGACUGAAGUUGGCGAUACCCAGUUAGCUAGAGGAAGAGUUCCUGAAAGCACUCUCACCGGUCCGGAGAUCAUACGUGAAACAACAGAGAAGAUCGUUCAGAUUCGUGAACGAUUGAAAGCCUCAAGAGACCGACAGAAAAGCUACGCUGACCAAAGGAGGAAACCUUUGGAAUUCCAGGUAGGAGACCACGUCUUAUUAAAGGUCUCACCGUGGAAGGGUUUAAUACGAUUUGGAAAGCGUGGGAAACUAAAUCCAAGAUACAUAGGGCCUUUCGAGAUUCUUGCCAGAAUCGGCCCUGUGGCUUACAAGCUUAACCUACCGCGCGAACUUAGUAACAUCCAUCCAACCUUCCACGUCUCAAACUUGAAAAAGUGUCUGUCCGACGAGACUCUUGUUAUUCCACUCGACGAGAUCGAGAUCAACGAGAGCCUCAACUUUGUGGAAGAACCAGUAGAAAUCAUGGACCGAGAGGUCAAACAAACAAAACAAAGUCGCAUACCCAUCGUGAAGGUUCGCUGGAACGCCAAGCGGGGACCCGAAUUCACAUGGGAACGCGAAGAUCAGAUGAAACAAAAGUACCCUCAUCUCUUUCAUGUUCACUAGUAUCUUUACUACUUUAAAUUUCGGGACGAAAUUCUCUCUAACGGGGGGAUGAUGUGACAACCCGAUAUUUCAACUCUUUGUAACGACCAAAAUGGGUCAAGUAUUGUAACCACUUCUGAAUAAUAAAAAGUUACUUUCAUAAUAAAAUGUAUAAAUAAGUUCUACUUAAUUUCCUUCUAUGAUUAAAUGUCUUUGAACCAUGAUCGUACGUGAAAAGAACGCCCAAAUCCGACUUCAUAUAGCGAAGUUAUGAUUUUUCCAAGUUCGGCUUAGCAACAGACAGCUAAAAACUCGAAUCGGAAAUCGAGCGACUUUUGGCCGGAAUGACCUAAACGAGAAUCGAAGGUCUCGUCAAUGGUAUUCCAGCGGUAAAAAGUCUGGCAAAAACCGACAUCAGAUAAAGAAGUUAUGAAUUUUCUAAGAAAUUCCUUAAACACGAUGGAUUUUUAAUAAAUAAUAAAAAUAUAAUUUUGGAAUUUGCCGACGGAGUCUAAACGAAAGUUGUAGAGCGUAGUCUCACCUACGCGAGGAUAUAAAGACCAUCGAAAACGGAGUUCGUAUGAAGAAGAUAUGAAUUUUGGAAGUUUAUUAAAUAAAUUAGUUAAUUAUUUAAUUCAAAAUUCGGACAUUAUCCGAAGGGGGGGGUCCGCUUCCUCAUCCGGGUACGCGCCGCGUACCUCUGUACGCCCUGCGUACUCGUAAGACUUGGCCUCGGAUCGUCCACGUCGCCAUAUCCGAGAAAUCCGAUCCAUCCGACCCGCCCGACCCGUCUGACCCGACGUCCCAUCCGACCCGGUGUCCCAUCCGACCCACUUCCCCAGCAACCCGUCCCAUCCGACCCGAGAACCCAGCAACCCGUCCCAUCCGAACCGAAGCAGUCGAGGCUUCGGUCAUGCAUGACGUACGCGUACGCAGCGCGUACGAGCGUACGCCCCGCGUACCGAGGCAGACCAGCCUUCCUAUAAAUAGAAUGCGAGGGUUUCCAAAGAAAGGGUUCAUUUCUCUUCUCUCUCUCUCAACUUUGCCUCGUUUUCCGUGUCCGUUCAAACCCGAAGCUCUGGUCUUUUUGGCUCAAGUCCCGAAGGUCGAUUUUACUCCCGAGAUUCCCGAGAAUCCCGAGGAAAAUCCGUUUCCCGAGACGAAACUCUGCCCGGUUUUCCAUCUCGCUAUCUUCAAACUUUCAAGUGAGUUUCAUACCCCUAAAUCAACCUUUUUAAUUAUUCUAAAUACUUUUAUAUGCUUUCAAGGGGGGGGAUUACAAGUAAAACACACGAGUAUUAUCGUGUGUUCCAUAAAGAAACUCUUUUAUAUACUGUUAUAUAUUCAAAUCACAUGCGAUUUAUAAACAUUUAAAGGAACUUUUAUAUAUAUAUAACAUAUGUCACAAUAGCAUUUUACCUUUUAA